AUGGUUGAGUCAGUUUUGCACC
rnacentral:miRNA from 1 species